rnacentral:tRNA from 1 species
GGGCAGUUUCCCGAGCGGUCAAAGGGGGCAGACUGUAAAUCUGUUGGCUACGCCUUCGUAGGUCCGAAUCCUUCACUGCCCA